GACGAACGCUGGCGGCGUGCUUAACACAUGCAAGUCGAAUGGAAAGGCCCUGCUUUUGUGGGGUGCUCGAGUGGCGAACGGGUGAGUAACACGUGAGUAACCUGCCCUUGACUUCGGGAUAACUUCAGGAAACUGGGGCUAAUACCGGAUAGGAGCUCCUGCUGCAUGGUGGGGGUUGGAAAGUUUCGGCGGUUGGGGAUGGACUCGCGGCUUAUCAGCUUGUUGGUGGGGUAGUGGCUUACCAAGGCUUUGACGGGUAGCCGGCCUGAGAGGGUGACCGGCCACAUUGGGACUGAGAUACGGCCCAGACUCCUACGGGAGGCAGCAGUGGGGAAUAUUGCACAAUGGGCGGAAGCCUGAUGCAGCAACGCCGCGUGCGGGAUGACGGCCUUCGGGUUGUAAACCGCUUUCGCCUGUGACGAAGCGUGAGUGACGGUAAUGGGUAAAGAAGCACCGGCUAACUACGUG
rnacentral:rRNA from 1 species